GACAGAGGAUGCAAGGGUUAUCCGGAAUCAUUGGGCGUAAAGAGCGUGUAGGCGGCCAGAAAAGUCCGCUGUGAAAACUCGAGGCUCAACUUCGAGCUGUCGGUGGAAACUUUCUGGCUAGAGUCCGGAAGAGGAGAAUGGAAUUCCUGGUGUAGCGGUGAAAUGCGCAGAUAUCAGGAAGAACACCCGUGGCGAAGGCGGUUCUCUGGGACGGUACUGACGCUGAGACGCGAAAGCGUGGGGAGCGAACAGG
rnacentral:rRNA from 1 species